AACUACUGGAAACGGUAGCUAAUACCGCAUAACGUCGCAAGACCAAAGAGGGGGACCUUCGGGCCUCUUGCCAUCGGAUGUGCCCAGAUGGGAUUAGCUAGUAGGUGGGGUAACGGCUCACCUAGGCGACGAUCCCUAGCUGGUCUGAGAGGAUGACCAGCCACACUGGAACUGAGACACGGUCCAGACUCCUACGGGAGGCAGCAGUGGGGAAUAUUGCACAAUGGGCGCAAGCCUGAUGCAGCCAUGCCGCGUGUAUGAAGAAGGCCUUCGGGUUGUAAAGUACUUUCAGCGGGGAGGAAGGGAGUAAAGUUAAUACCUUUGCUCAUUGACGUUACCCGCAGAAGAAGCACCGGCUAACUCCGUGCCAGCAGCCGCGGUAAUACGGAGGGUGCAAGCGU
rnacentral:rRNA from 1 species